GCGUACGGGACAUCCCCUGUGGACACCAGCAUUACCAACCCUGCGCUAUCAUGGGGACUGUCUAAUUUUAACGCCUCGAAAGGUAUUGGCAAGUUAAUGAAAAGUGAUUAUUUUUCAACCCAAACAUGCUUGUCUUUAGGGCAAUAUCGGGAAAAAUGCCCAUACAUGUUUCUUUCCUGAACCGUUAAAGAUCCCUAUCUUUAAAACUUCAAACUUGAAAAGUGAUCAGAUUCAGUGUUAUUUAUCGCACUUAAAUUUAUAGUGCAUGGUGCUCCAUUUAAACACAACAUGGUGCUCCAGUUAAAAUAAGCGACUAGACGUACCACAUAUCGAGUUAAGAAUCGCAGCCCAUAUGCGUGGGACACCCUGUAUAUGUAUAUGUUAGUAAGGAGUAAAACCAAAUAAAAAAUAUUACGACUUU